rnacentral:rRNA from 1 species
UACAGAGGGUGCGAGCGUUGUCCGGAAUCACUGGGCGUAAAGGGCGCGUAGGUGGUGGCUUAAGCGUGCGGUGAAAGCUCGGGGCUCAACCCCGGGCUUGCGGUCGAUACGGGCAGGCUCGAGUUCGGUAGGGGAGACUGGAAUUCCUGGUGUAGCGGUGAAAUGCGUAGAGAUCCGGAAGAACACCGGUGGCGAAGGCGGCCUGCUGGGCAGUUGCUGACACUGAGGCGCGACAGCGUGGGGAGCAAACAGG